CACCUCAAUGUUUUGUUUUGGAUUUUGAUCUUGAUUUUGAUCAUAAUGAAUAAUAAUGAACAACAAGUAAGACAUGUUUCACCACUCACUCUUUUAUUUUUUUAUUUUUGCAGGGCGGCAGUUCUCAUGGAUCAUCUGUUAAGGGCGGAAGUGUGGCAUCAAGCACAUCAGCGGUUGCCCCACCUAUUCUCAGCAGAGCGCUGUCUAAAGGAAAACGCUUCAGGAGUAGUUCCCUUUCGCUCAGCCCUGCCCAGCAACGAAGACAGAUUAAUUACUUCAGGACCCCACCCAUAACCAGAGGCAAACACAAAAUAUCAACAAAUCUUAUAGAUGGAUCCAGAGCGGCUGGACAUGUCUACAAACAUUUGCAGGAGGAUGAGUCAACAGAUAUAGAGUCCAUAAAAAGGUGUGAUUCUGCCGGCGGAAGGGUCGGCGCCCUCCUCAGCAGGACUUCACUCUCUCACUUUGCGGCCAGAAAGGGAUGGACCGAGGUCCCCUGCACCCGUCUGGAUAAGGGAACAACCUUCCUUCCACCUUCCCUGCGCACCCGUUCUGUGCCCAUCAUCCCCUCGCUCCAAGCAUGUGACCUUGAGGCAGGGCAUGCGGACACAAGUGACCAGAACCAAUGGAGGCUCCUCAAGUGGCAAACUGUAUUGGCUGGAAAAACGGGAAUGCCCAUUAGCAAUUCUCCCUCUCUCCCAUGUGAGACUGUUGUGCUGGCUCCUGGUGUUGUGCCCAGCAGUUUUAGCCCUCCUGCCGCUACCACCACUCCACUGGGAUCCGAGAAGAAUCUCAGCUCCACACAGACACCCCGCUCCAUUGAAAUCACAGUGGAAUUGGUGCAAGAAUUAAAACAGAAAAGCCUUCCCAGCUCCGUGAAAAUGUCUGGGUCUCAGAGCAAGAUCCAACGCGGUGGCACAAAUGCUCUCGAGGCUGGGACUGUGCACGAAUCAGAAGGGAAAAGUGUCCAAUAUACAGCCAGAGUUCUGCACACAGGCAGUGGCACCAGAGGUUUGAAGGCAGCAGGCCAAAGAGAAGCCCAGGGACAGUGCCAAGGUCAGACAUCCCUCGUGUACGGAGGUGCAAACUGCUCCACGGCCACCAAAGGACACAGCUGCAGAGGAACCGCCGUUGCUUAUGCCAAGCCCUCCGCAAGCUGAUUGGAUUAACGCUGUGAAGGUUCUAAGACACUUUCCAAUAACUGUAUACCUUCGCUGGUGGCACAGGAUGGUUAGCAGUCGGGACCAUCUGUGUGGCCACAUGGACCAAUAACAGAUGGCCGUCGAGUUUGACGGAACACGAACAGGUUGAACUGCGGAGGAAAAAAAUAUUGACACAACAAAAGACAUCAAACUAUAAAGAAACACACACACACACACACACACACAUUGUGAAUAAAUGUGACUCAAUAAGGAAAACAAGACUGUGACUUGAGUGGGAGCUUGACUUUAAACAGUGUAUUGAAAAAAAUGCCACUAUUUAAACGGAGCUUCUACUUAGAAACCAAAAUAGUGUGUCAUCUAUAUGUUGUUUCUCUAUUGUAAAGAAAUGAAAUUAUAUAUGUCAUAUAAUAUAUGUCAUAUAGACGUAUAUAUAUUUGACAUACAAUUGUGACAAAAUAAAGACUAAGACAACAGUGU
ensembl:lncRNA